rnacentral:tRNA from 1 species
AAUAAAUUGCCUGAUUAAAGGAUUACUUUGAUAGAGUAAAAUAAAUAAUGAAAAAUUAUAUUUAUUA